AUUGGAUGCCGAUCCAAUCUAGUAGAUUGGACAAUUGUUUUACUUGACCAUCUGCCAUAAUUUAUUGUCGUAAUAAAUCACAUGACUUACAUCUUCUGGUCUAACUGACCUGAAGAACCAAUAGGUAACAGGAUUUCUUUCUCCUAUCACAAUCAAAAGCAGCAUAAUUCCUUUCAAACCCGGGUCUAAUUGAGUAGAUGCUUAAAACAUGAUCGAUACUGGCAGGAUCCGUUUAUUUCGUAGAAUUGAAAUGAAGAGUCUUGAGACUCAUAAAAAGAUCUAUCUCGACAUGUAGAGCUCUCGAGUGGACAAUCUUGGCCUGGGAAUGGCGACCAGGGGCUUCAUUUUCUUGACCACAAUGCCGAACUUGUCCGAGAAUUCCAGCUCAACCCCUGGCGGUAAUUCCCACUCGAACGAAUGCAAAAGAGAGGCCAAAA